GAGUAGGUUAUUGCCAGGGUUUUUAUUUUUAUACUUUAAACUUUGAUUUUAUUUUUAUGUUUUUUAAAUAUUGGUGUUUUUGAAUGUGUUGUUUAAAUAACAUAAAAAAUAAAAUAUAUAUAUUGACAUGCAUUAAACAAAGAUAUAUAUUAUUUUAUGUUGUAUAAAUAAAUUGGCAAAAUAGAGAUGGAAGAUAAAAAUAUGGUCAAAGUAAUAAGAGUCUAUGGUGAAUGCCUAGGAGCUUUAAGGCGAAGAAGGUCGUGGUAAGCUGCGAAAAGCUUGGGGGAGAAGCAAACAUUUAUUGAUCCCAAGAUUACCGAAUGGAGUAAUCCA
rnacentral:misc_RNA from 1 species